rnacentral:rRNA from 1 species
GACGAACGCUGGCGGCGUGCUUAACACAUGCAAGUCGAACGGAAAGGCCUGCUUUCCCUUGUGGAUUGCGGGUACUCGAGUGGCGAACGGGUGAGUAACACGUGAGUGAUCUGCCCCCAACUUGGGUAUAAGCCUGGGAAACUGGGUCUAAUUCCCGAUAGGACUGCAGGGUGGUGCCUGUGGUGGAAAACGAUUUUCUAGUGGUUGGGGAUGAGCUCGCGGCCUAUCAGCUUGUUGGUGGGGUAAUGGCCUACCAAGGCGGCGACGGGUAGCCGGCCUGAGAGGUUGGACGGCCACAUUGGGACUGAGAUACGGCCCAGACUCCUACGGGAGGCAGCAGUGGGGAAUAUGACACAAUGGGCGGAAGCCUGAUGCAGCGACGCCGCGUGGGGGAUGACGGCCUUCGGGUUGUAAACUCCUUUCGACCGCGAGGAAGCCACCUGGUUGGAAGGGUGGUGACGGUAGUGGUAGAAGAAGCACCGGCUAACUACGUG